ACGUAGGCAGCAAGCGUUGUUCGGAGUUACUGGGCGUAAAGGGUGUGUAGGCGGUUGCCUAAGUUUGGUGUGAAAUCUCCCGGCUUAACCGGGAGGGUGCGCCGAAAACUGGGUGACUAGAGUGUGGGAUGGGUAAGUGGAAUUCCUGGUGUAGCGGUGAAAUGCGUAGAUAUCAGGAGGAACACCGGUGGUGUAGACGGCUUACUGGACCAUAACUGACGCUGAGACACGAAAGCGUGGGUAGCAAACAGGAUUAGAUACCCUGGUAGUCCACGCCCUAAACGAUGCAUAUUUGGUGUGGGUCAUUCAGUUGAUCCGUGCCGGAGCUAACGCGUUAAAUAUGCCGCCUGGGGAGUACAGUCGCAAGGCUG
rnacentral:rRNA from 1 species